AUCUAAAUUAUUUCUAAAAUUGUAUUAAACUGAUUUGUCGUAAUUAAUAUUUUAUCUACAGUAUGUCUAAUGCUAAUGAAGGAUCUAGUUCUUCACGUCGACGAAAGAAUAAAGAAUACUAGUCUUCUUAUGAAGAGAGUGUUAUGCUUGAACUAUAUGAAGCCGAGCUUGCAAAAGUAGACUAUAAUACAUAUGGUCUUAAAAAACCACAUCAAAAUCAUAUUAUGAGCGAACUAUUAAAGAGGACGGGUAAACAUGUUGAUGGUUGGAUAAAGGUCAACAACAAGAUAGAUACAUUGAAGGGAAAUUACAAAGAAUGGGUCGAUCUAAUGGAUAAAAUAGGUUUAAGUUCGGAUAGCAGAACUGGAGUUAUCCGUAUGGAUGACGAUUGGUGGCAAUUACGUGAGGCGGAGAGUAGAACAAUUUUGGCUUGUAUUUGUGGACAAUAUGUUGUAUCAACUGAACACAUGUAUGAUGUUGAUGGAGCACGUAGAGAACUGCAUGAAGAAGAUUAAAGAGCUGAUUUUAGUGGUGGUUUUGAUGAGGAUGGUUAUGCUAAUAACGAGAUUCCUCAAACUCAUGACGAAAAUACUGAUGAGGAUGCAGCACCCGAAACACAUGUAGAUAUCCUAUUUGCAUCGGCAAAAGAAAUCCAGAAUCGUUCAGGUAGAAAUACUGCCUGUGCUGUGCCAUACAGUGCCGGACGAAGAGAAAGUAGUCAGCGAAGAAGUAAUUCACGAGUUUAUUUGUUGGUAGAAAAGAUCGUAGUAACCGUAGAAAGCAUCAAUUCGAAAGCUCGGUUACCAUAGCAGAUGCAUGACGUGCAACUGUAUCAGCUAUGCGACAUGAUAGGUACAAUCCUGAAGAAUACGCAAAAUUUAAAGAAGCAUUUGCUAUAUUGAAUUAGUACAUACCGUUUUGGAAAGCCUCAGCGAAGCCUCUUAAGGACGAUGCAUGGUGGUGUAAUGCAUUUUUAGACACCUCUUUUGAGUCAGAUGAAGAUAGAAUCCGAUUUUUGGAAAGUAUAACUGAGCUGGAUCGGUUGGAAACCGUAACUCCUUAAAAUUUGGCAAACUUUGGAUCCUUUUUAAGUGGUUCUAGCGGUGGAAGUGUGCGAUCAUCAGGAAGUUCUGUAGGAUAUUCUUCAGGAAAUUCUCUGGGACAUUCAUCCGAAAACUCUGAAUAUAGGUUUGCUAAAUUUCCACAGUUUCAACCAUCUCCCGCUAUGGGACAAUUCUUUUCAUCUCCAGGGCAAGGAUUUAACAUGCCCGGACAGAUGGUGGGUGUGCCAUAUGUUCCGAUGAUGUUUCCUCAAGGAUUUGGUGGUUAUCCUUUUAUAGCCUUGUCGCCUGCUACACAAAUGUUGCAAACAUCAGGAUCUCCUGGAGUCUUUAAUGUUGGGGCAUCAUCAUCGAUGGGUUGAAUUUCAGCUAGACAAAUGGGAGAAACUAAUCAAGAACAAGAACAAAUUUUUCUCCUGGUUUUGUAACGUCAAAUCGACGAUCAACUAAUACUGGAUAUUGGUUUGGUGUACCAUCUACAAUUGGUACUCAGCCACGACAGUUGAAUUUUAUGGAUGAUAGAACAUCAAACAAUCCAACUGAUAUCUCGAGACAUUGAAUAUAUAAUAUCAAAUGUUUAUGUCGUUUAUGAAUGUUUGUAUUAAAAAUUUUAGAUUAAAAAUUUAUGUUUAAUGUAUGUUUGUUUACUGAUAACAUGGGAUUUUCGCCCAUAUUUGUUAUUGUUUUAUGAUGUUUUAGGAAGUGUUUGGUGUGAUUUCAAGGCUAAAGACGAGAUAUUCAAGUAUUUAUGAAGUCCAGAAGGUUUUAGGAGUUUCUAAGCAAAAUGGACCAAAAGACGAGCAAAACCCGUUUCAUGACAUAUUCAAAGCUCCAGAAGUUAGGCGUCCGUUGGAGGCCUUCCCGUGAAGAAAAUUUGAAGAUCAUGUACUCUAUGGAAAGCUGGAAGAGUCAAGAUUACUAUGAAGGAAGAAUCAACUCAAUCCCAGCUUCCAAACAGAAGUUAAAGCCGAUUGAAGUCAGCCUGUCAGAGACCGGUCGCAAGGCGUGCGACCGGUGGUGAAGCCCUUGGUGGCACCGGUCACAACCCAACGUGACCGGUCUGGUGCCUCUUGGUGAGCCCGGUCAUGGAGCCUCUUUACCGGGCUGAGCUGUCUCGUCCCCACACUUAAUGAAACUACGUAGUUUUGCCGAGAAAACCCUAAACCGACUUGUUCCUUCCCGAGGCCUAUAAAUACAUGUUCUAAACCCUAAUUAGGGUGUGUCUUCGACCUCUAUCACCAGCAGCCUCUCAUAGACGACCAGAGAAGCCUCCUCACCGAUCUCUCCUCCGACCUCCUCUUGCCACCGCCGUUGAAGCCGCCGAUCAUCACCAACCCUUCUCUUCAUCUCUUUUCUCUGUUCUCUACUUGUUUAAGGAAGAAGAAUCCUAAACUCUGGAUUUCCAGAGAAGAUCUCUAAACCCUUUUUCUAUACUAAUACUCUUUUAUGCAAUCUCUUAAUCAUAUGAUGUUGUGUUC